rnacentral:rRNA from 1 species
AUUGAACGCUGGCGGCAUGCCUUACACAUGCAAGUCGAACGGCAGCACGGGGGCAACCCUGGUGGCGAGUGGCGAACGGGUGAGUAAUGCAUCGGAACGUGCCCAGUAGUGGGGGAUAACCCGGCGAAAGCCGGGCUAAUACCGCAUACGACCCAAGGGUGAAAGCGGGGGACCGUAAGGCCUCGCGCUAUUGGAGCGGCCGAUGUCUGUUUAGCUAGUUGGCGGGGUAAGAGCCCACCAAGGCGACGAUCAGUAGCUGGUCUGGGAGGACGACCAGCCACACUGGGACUGAGACACGGCCCAGACUCCUACGGGAGGCAGCAGUGGGGAAUUUUGGACAAUGGGCGCAAGCCUGAUCCAGCCAUGCCGCGUGCGGGAAGAAGGCCUUCGGGUUGUAAACCGCUUUUGGCAGGAACGAAACGGCGCAAGCCAAUACCUUGCGCUAAUGACGGUACCUGCAGAAUAAGCACCGGCUAACUACGUGCCAGCCGCCGCAGUAAUAC